AUGCAAGGCGUCGUCUUAGCCUUGCCUUCCCAGGAUCGCUCCCACACCUGUCACGUUCGUGAUCGGCCUCCUCAACUGUGUAUCGAUCGAAAGGCAGGGCGGCAGAGCCCCCAACCGACAAAGGAACAGAUCGUAACAGAACAGGGCAUGCUCCAUUGGGAUAUGCACUUGUCCCUUAAUUGCAGAAUUAUCAAUGGUUUUUUUUGA
rnacentral:rRNA from 1 species